AUGUACACAUCUGCUUAUUACUCUCAAAUAAUUUCUUCUUUCACCUUAUUAUUUCUCAAAUCUUUCCUUCUUUUCCCUCUCCAUAGAAGAAGUUCCAGAAAAUUUAAAAAUCUUUUCAGAAAAGACAGUACACUGAGCAGGAUUUGCACAUCAAGAAAAAGUAGAGACAGGAGAUGGGAGUCAAGUGUUUGGAGCGGGGGUAGAGAAAAGAUUAGGCUGGAAGGGGUAUUGGGCCAGGUGUGGGAGUGUACAGAUCUGUGUGUGUGUGUUUGUGUGUGUGUGUGUUUGGUGUGUAACAUUCUCACUGAAGAUUUACUUGAAAAACUCCAGCUCUGUCUAGCCUGGAUUAACAGAAUGAUGUUUGGGGCAGGUUGGGGGCUUGGGGGCAGGAGACCCCGGAAUGGGAUGUGGUGUUGGCAGCUGGGCUGUUGGGCAGGUGAGAUGAGCUGCAGAAGGAGCAGGGCUCUGGUUCCCAUGCUCGUCCGUCCUGCUGGCAUGGAGCUUCCUCCAGGCUGUGGGGUGGGUGUGGUAGGUGGGGCUUCCUUCCUUCCCCAGACUAGCCCAGCAAUUCCCCAGGAAGCCAGGCCUCUGCUAGUGCUUCUUUCUGCACCUCUACAGGGAGAGUCACCCUGUCUGCACCAAGGAUGGGGACAGCAGAGGAAUCUCACAGGCCAGGAUGAUGGUGACAGCCAUGCUGAGACCCACAUGAAACCGAGUCCUCAGGAGGCCCUGUGAGGAUGGUGUGGUUCCCAUCACACUUCUCUGACAAGAGGGAAUUAUCUUCAGACUCAGGAGAAAUAUGGGGUUUGUUUCAAGUCCAUGGAGCAUCACAGUCCUUUUGAGAGGUGAGAGCCUAGUAGAUUGACCUAGCGGAUUGACAGAGAGUGGGCAGAGGCUCUGUCUUGUGGUCAGUUUCAGACAGCCUGUGGCCACGGCUCCCUGGUCAGCAGCAGACCCUGUUGAAUGGGAGCCCUGGGCAGGCACUGGGAGGGAGGCCUGAGGUGUGGCUCUUAGAACCUCACAGCUGCUGCUCUAUCCUAUAGCUACAACCUGUCCUGCUUCUGAGCCCCAUCCCUGUAGGCCAGCCAUGACCUCAAGGACAAGAAGACCAGGCCAUGAAGAAUCUCAGGCCCACUGAGUGCCCAGGUGGCAGGGGCAGAGUGCCUCAGGGCUCAGUGAAGUUUGGGCUGAGCGUGUGCUCUGGGAGUCAGACAGCUGCACAGGGCUCCCAGCUCCACCGUGAUGUGACCAGCCCUGUGACUGGGGUAGGGGACUUACUGCUGUGGUACUUGAGCAUCAUUGUCAUAAACUUAAUGUGUCUGUCCAAUCCUUUUGUCUUUUUAUCUCUCUUCCUCUAUAAUCACCAUAUACGACUGAUCUCUGUUAGUGAUGGUGUUCAAAUGAAUAAACAUAUGUUACAUAGGGUGUAUUAUACUUCCUCAUUAUGUCUUCACUAUACUGUAUGACUCCACUCAUACGAGGUACUUGGAGUAGUUCAGUUUACAGAAACACAAAGUAGAAGAGUGGUUCCUGGGGCUACAGGAAGGUAGGUGAGGUGUUUAAUGGGUACAGAGUUUUAGUUUUGCAAGAUGAAAAACACCCCCUAUAAAUGUGGAGGAUGCUCAUAAAACCAUGUGAAUGUGCUUAAUUCCUUUGACCUGCACUCUUAAAAAUUGUUAAAAUGAAAACAAAAAAAAAUUCUUGGCCAGGCACAGUAGCUCAAGCCUGUAAUCCCAACACUUAGGGUGGCGGAGGUGGACGGAUUACCUGAGGUCAGGAGUUCAAGACCAGCCUGGCCAACAUGGUGAAGCCCCGUCUCUAGUAAAGAUACAAAAAUUAGCCAGAUGUGGCGGUGCAUGCCUCUAAUCCCAGCUACUUGGGAGGCUGAGGCAGAAGAAUUGCUUGAACCCAGGAGGUGGAGGUUGCAGUGAAUCAACAUUGUACCACUGCACUCCAGCCUGAGAAACAGAGCAAGACUCUGUCUCAAAAAAAGAAACAAAAAUCCCAGCAACAACAAAUAUACCAGACUAUAGCUAUCUGCAACAGCAUGAAUGAAUAUCACAAAUAUAAUGUAUAAAAGUAAGUAGAUGUAAAAGUAUACAUACUAUAUAAUUUUAUUUAUACAAAAUUCAAUAAGCAGACAAAACUGAGGUCCUGGUUUUCAGUAAUACUGGAGUAGCUUGUUCAAUUAACACAGAUUAUAAUGAUGACACCUGAAUAAUAUAUUUUAUAUAUAUAUUUUUUAAUGGAGUCUCACUCUGUCACACAGGCAGGAGCGCAGUGGUGCAAUCUCAGCUCACUGCAAUCUCCACCUCCUGGGUUCAAGCAAGUCUCCUGCCUCAGCCUCCCAAGUAGCUGGGACUACAGGCACAUGCCAUCAUGCCCAGCUAAUUUUUGUAAUUUUAGUAGAGAUGGGAUUUCACCAUGUAGGCCAGUCUGGUCUUGAACUCCUGACCUCAUGAUCUGCCCACCUCGGCCCCCCAAAGUACUGGGAUUACAGGCAUGAGCCACUGCACCCAGCCUAUAUUAUACAUUAUCAUAGAAACACAUCUGUAUAAUACAAAUAUGACCUAUGUGUGAAUAAAAACUCAAUGAGGAUUUCAGCUGUGCCCACUGUAGGGGAGACAGGUAUUGAAGUUUGAAUCCAGCCCAAUUAAAACCAUUUGUAAACAGUAACAUCGCUCUUCAAAGCUAAUACAACAGAAUUGAGAGUCUCUAUAAUGAUUCUUUACAGUAUACAACUUUAAAAUUCACUGAGACGUGUGAGGAAGCACGAAAAUGUAAUCCAUAUACAAUUUAAAAAGCAGGCAGUAGAUGUGAUCCUAAGAUAUUCAAGGUGUUAUAAUUCAGCACAUUUAAAGGCAGUUAUUAUAAAUCUGUUAAUGGGAGUAAAGGAAAAUAUUUUAAGAGAUGUGGAACCUAAGCAAAGAAAUGGAAAUUAUGAAACAAUAAGGAGAUAAGGAAAUUUAAAAAAUACUUUUGAGCUUAUUCAAAGUUUAGAAACAGAAGACAGAGCAAUAGAAAUUGCCCGUUCUGAAUAAAAAAGUGAAAAAACUUAAAGAAAAUGAAGAGUCUUAGAGACCUGUGGAGUGAUUGAGUCCAAGUUGGAGGGGACAGAAAAAUGAGGUACAAAAAUAAAUCACCAACUAAUAGCUAAAAACUUCCAAAGAUUGGCCAAAUCCCCCAGUUUUUAUACCCAACAUGUCAACAAAUCCCUCCAAAAAAAUAUAAAUAAAACCAUACCAAGGGCAUAUUGUGAUUUAGGAGACUGGCAGGGCAGAGGUUUCUAUUGACUUGCUGUGAUUUCUAAUUUUAACUACUUAGAAGAACGAAAAAUAGGUUCUCCUUAGAGUUUCUUUUCUUUCUUGGGGGGGGAAAAAAAGCACAGAUGACUGACAGGUAUUAAAGGCAGAUGAUGGCCCAGAGCGGUGGCCCAUGCCUGUAAUCCCAGCACUUCGGGAGGCCGAGGCGGGUGGAUCACGAGGUCAGGAGAUCAAGACCAUCCUGGCUAACACGGUGAAACCCAUGUCUACUGAAAAUACAAAAAAUUAGCUGGGUGUGGUGGUGGGCACCUGUAGUCCCAGCUACUUGGGAGGCUGAGGCAGGAGAAUGGUGUGAACUCGGGAGGUGGAGCUUGCAGUGAGCCAAGAGCACGCCACUGCAUUCCAGCCUGAGGGACAGAGCGAGACUCCGUCUCAAAAAAAAAAAAAAAAAAAAAAAAAAAAAGCAGAUGGCUUUCCAGCCUUCUCUUAAAUUUCCAGUGUCUUAUGUUGGAAAUUAUUUGGAUUUGUUUCUUCCAAAUCCUGCAGUAAUAUUGAUGCUCCAGAAAGGCGUCCCACGGAGAUUUUUGCUCUUGUGCAUCCGUCCUGCAUGGAGCUGAGGUUGUGCCUCCUCUAGUUUCAUUAGCGUGUAGUUGUGGGGAACUUUGAGUUAAUCUGGAAAACGAAAUGUUAAAAUUGAUUCAGGGCGUGGUGGCUCAUGCCUGUAAUCCUAGCA
ensembl:lncRNA